UUGCUGCUCCCAACAGGCUGACACCCACUGUGUGUUUGGACCACGUGUCCUUCGCCGUCCACAGACUGUGUCCUGGCACUCGUGGUUAAUGCAGCCAUGGGUGUGAGAAUGCAGACAUCCCCUCACACACUGAUUUCUUCCUUUGCCGUGUUCUCACUGAAACGAGCACAAUGAAGUUGCUGAGCAAGCGGCGCGGGGAUGCUCUGCUCUCUGGAAGUGCAUUUGGGUUUAGCGCAAGGUAUCUGCAGCUCUGUAAGCAGAAGCAGUGGCAGCUUUUAUUUUCCACUGGACCGUGGAUUUACAGGGACAGGUGUUCGGUUCAGUUCUGGGAGAGUGGGCAGACCUGGAGUGUGGCAUCUGCAUGGGCUGGUGGCCCAGCACCGCAUCACCGGGUCUUACUGUGUGACUUAUGCUGCUUGAGCUCGCCAUAUAGCUGAGAACGACCCUGACCUCCGGGUCCUCCCGAGCCCCAGGGUGGCAAGUGUGUGCCUCCACACCCACGAAUAAACUGAAUACCUCCA